rnacentral:tRNA from 1 species
UGCCGGCCGGCGGGGCGAUGCUCGCCGUCGGCGCCGACGAGGCGGCCGUGACCGGGUCGCUGGCCGGCGUCGCCGGCCGGGUCGACAUC